rnacentral:rRNA from 1 species
GGGGAAUUUUGGAAAAUGGGCGCAAUCCUGAUCCAGCAAUGCCGCGUGCAGGAUGAAGGCCUUCGGGUUGUAAACCGCUUUCAGCAGGGACGAAGGCUUUCUGACGGUACCUGCAGAAGAAGCACCGGCUAACUACGUGCCACCAGCCGCGGUGAUACGUAGGGUGCGAGCGUUGUCCGGAAUUAUUGGGCGUAAAGAGCUUGUAGGCGGUCCGUCACGUCGGAAGUGAAAACUCAGGGCUUAACCCUGAGCCUGCUUUCGAUACGGGCAGACUUGAGGGAUGUAGGGGAGAACGGAAUUCCUGGUGGAGCGGUGGAAUGCGCAGAUAUCAGGAGGAACACCAGUGGCGAAGGCGGUUCUCUGGACAUUUCCUGACGCUGAGAAGCGAAAGCGUGGGGAGCAAACA